rnacentral:rRNA from 1 species
AUACGUAGGGGGCGAGCGUUGUCCGGAAUUACUGGGCGUAAAGGGUGCGUAGGCGGCUUUGUAAGUCAGAUGUGAAAUCCCACGGCUUAACUGUGGUAAGCAUUUGAAACUGCAAGGCUUGAGUGCAGGAGAGGAGAGUGGAAUUCCUAGUGUAGCGGUGAAAUGCGUAGAUAUUAGGAGGAAUACCAGUGGCGAAGGCGACUCUCUGGACUGUAACUGACGCUGAUGCACGAAAGCGUGGGGAGCAAACAGGAUUAGAUACCCUGGUAGUCCACGCCGUAAACGAUGAGUGCUAGGUGUUGGGGGGGACACCCUUCGGUGCCGAAGUUAACACAUUAAGCACUCCGCCUGGGGAGUACGGUCGCAAGACUGAA